rnacentral:rRNA from 1 species
CUGCUGCCUCCCGUAGGAGUUUGGGCCGUGUCUCAGUCCCAAUGUGGCCGUCCACCCUCUCAGGCCGGCUACUGAUCGUCGCCUUGGUGGGCCUCUACCCCGCCAACAAGCUAAUCAGACGCGGGUCCAUCUUACACCACCGGAGUUUUUCACACCGGGCCAUGCGGCCCUGUGCGCUUAUGCGGUAUUAGCACCUGUUUCCAGGUGUUAUCCCCCUGUGUAAGGCAGGUUACCCACGCGUUACUCACCCGUCCGCCACUCGAA